UGAGUUGGUUGGGCAGUCGCGCGCAAACUCUGCGUGAGGAAAGUCCGAGCCCCAUAGAGCAGGAUAACGGCUAACAGCCGCCGAGGGUGACCUUAGGGACAGUGCAACAGAAAGUAACCGCGGGUUUCGGUUUUCGGAACACGCAAGGGUGGAAAGGCGAGGUAAGAGCUCACCGGGGCACGGAGAACCGUGCCGCCAUGUAAACCCUAUCCGGAGCAACACCAACCGGGGCGUGUGCGAACACGGCGCUUGCUCGGCGUAUUCCCCGACAGGUGGCAUGACCGCGUCAGCAAUGGCGCGGCAAGAUAGAUGAUUGCCUUCAAUGACAGAACUCGGCUUACAGACCAACUCACAUU
rnacentral:RNase_P_RNA from 1 species